rnacentral:rRNA from 1 species
AUUGAACGCUGGCGGCAUGCCUUACACAUGCAAGUCGAACGGCAGCACGGGAGCAAUCCUGGUGGCGAGUGGCGAACGGGUGAGUAAUAUAUCGGAACGUGCCCAGUCGUGGGGGAUAACGUAGCGAAAGCUACGCUAAUACCGCAUACGAUCUACGGAUGAAAGCGGGGGACUCGCAAGAGCCUCGCGCGAUUGGAGCGGCCGAUAUCAGAUUAGGUUGUUGGUGAGGUAAAAGCUCACCAAGCCUGCGAUCUGUAGCUGGUCUGAGAGGACGACCAGCCACACUGGAACUGAGACACGGUCCAGACUCCUACGGGAGGCAGCAGUGGGGAAUUUUGGACAAUGGACGCAAGUCUGAUCCAGCAAUGCCGCGUGCAGGACGAAGGCCUUCGGGUUGUAAACUGCUUUUGUACGGAACGAAACGGUCUUCUUUAAUACAGAGGGCUAAUGACGGUACCGUAAGAAUAAGCACCGGCUAACUACGUGCCAGCAGCCGCGGUAAUACGUAGGGUGCGAGCGUUAAUCGGAAUUACUGGGCGUAAAGCGUGCGCAGGCGGUUAUAUAAGUCAGAUGUGAAAUCCCCGGGCUCAACCUGGGACCUGCAUUUGAGACUGUAUAGCUAGAGUACGGUAGAGGGGGAUGGAAUUCCGCGUGUAGCAGUGAAAUGCGUAGAUAUGCGGAGGAACACCGAUGGCGAAGGCAAUCCCCUGGACCUGUACUGACGCUCAUGCACGAAAGCGUGGGGAGCAAACAGGAUUAGAUACCCUGGUAGUCCACGCCCUAAACGAUGUCAACUGGUUGUUGGGUCUUCACUGACUCAGUAACGAAGCUAACGCGUGAAGUUGACCGCCUGGGGAGUACGGCCGCAAGGUUG